UACGUAGGGGGCAAGCGUUGUCCGGAAUCAUUGGGCGUAAAGCGCGUGUAGGCGGUUCGGUAAGUCUGCUGUGAAAGUCCAGGGCUCAACCCUGGGAUGCCGGUGGAUACUGUCGGACUAGAGUACGGAAGAGGCGAGUGGAAUUCCCGGUGUAGCGGUGAAAUUCAUAGAUAUCAGGAGGAACAUCUGCGGCGAAGGCGGCUUCCUGGCCCAUUACUGACGUUCAGGUACGAAAGCGUGGGUAGCAAACAGG
rnacentral:rRNA from 1 species